GGGAACAUACCCUUUUCUACGGAAUAGCUCUGGGAAACUGGAAUUAAUACCGUAUACGCCCUACGGGGAAAGAUUUGUCGGGGAAGGAUUGGCCCGCGUUGGAUUAGCUAGUUGGUGGGGUAAAGGCCUACCAAGGCGACGAUCCAUAGCUGGUCUGAGAGGAUGAUCAGCCACAUUGGGACUGAGACACGGCCCAAACUCCUACGGGAGGCAGCAGUGGGGAAUAUUGGACAAUGGGCGCAAGCCUGAUCCAGCCAUGCCGCGUGAGUGAUGAAGGCCUUAGGGUUGUAAAGCUCUUUCACCGAUGAAGAUAAUGACGGUAGUCGGAGAAGAAGCCCCGGCUAACUUCGUGCCAGCAGCCGCGGUAAUACGAAGGGGGCUAGCGUUGUUCGGAAUUACUGGGCGUAAAGCGCACGUAGGCGGAUAUUUAAGUCAGGGGUGAAAUCCCAGAGCUCAACUCUGGAACUGCCUUUGAUACUGGGUAUCUUGAGUAUGGAAGAGGUAAGUGGAAUUGCGAGU
rnacentral:rRNA from 1 species